UUGAUCCUUCAAAAAUCACAAGGAAGAAAAGUGUUAUAACUUAUUCUCCAACAACUGGAACUUGUCAAAUGAGUCUAUUUGCUUCUCCCACAAGUUCUGAAGAGCAAAAGCACAGAAAUGGACUAUCAAAUGAAAAGAGAAAAAAAUUGAAUCACCCCAGUUUAACUGAAAGCAAAGAAUCUACAACAAAAGACAAUGAUGAAUUCAUGAUGUUGCUAUCAAAAGUUGAGAAAUUGUCAGAAGAAAUCAUGGAGAUAAUGCAAAAUUUAAGUAGUAUACAGGCUUUGGAGGGCAGUAGAGAGCUUGAAAAUCUCAUUGGAAUCUCCUGUGCAUCACAUUUCUUAAAAAGAGAAAUGCAGAAAACCAAAGAACUAAUGACAAAAGUGAAUAAACAAAAACUGUUUGAAAAGAGUACAGGACUUCCUCACAAAGAUACUUCAAUUUUAAAAGCACUGAGGUUUGAAGUUUAGACAUGACGACUUUUAGGAGAAACAACAGAAAUUCCCCCUAUGCUUUAACAUUCUGGGUUUAUCUGGAGAUAAAAAAUGAAGCCAUUAAUUUUGAUAGCACAAAUAUACAUUAAUGUACAACUAUAGUCCUCAGCUCUUUAUAAUGAUUCAGCUAUCAUGUAUGCCAUAUGUGAAUCAUAACCUUUCCUAUUAAUAAUGUUAAUGCUCUUGUUUUACACGAUUCGUCAUUGUUUUGGGGUAUGCAUUUCAGCUGCUAAAAAUGCUUACUUGAGAUUUGUCUAGGAUUUAAGUAAAAAUAAACUGAUUUAUUACUUUUCAAAGCCUUUUAAAUAAUUUCUUUCAUGAUUUAAAUUUUUUAUACUUUAACAGAAGUAUGAUAAUUUUUCUUUCAAAUAAAAUCAGUAGAAAAAAUUUUAAACUAUAGAUUUGGACUCACUUAAUAGCAAUUAGGUGUUUAAGAGGUGUAAAUAACUUG
rnacentral:sRNA from 1 species